rnacentral:rRNA from 1 species
GAUGAACGCUAGCUACAGGCUUAACACAUGCAAGUCGAGGGGCAGCAUGAAGUUUGCUUGCAAACUUUGAUGGCGACCGGCGGAUGGGUGAGUAACGCGUACCCAACCUGCCCCCUUCCCGGGCACAGCCCUUGGAAACGAGGAUUAACGCCCGAUGGCGUCUGGAUGCCGCAUGGCAUUCCGACCAAAUGCGAAGGAAGGGGAUGGGGGUGCGUCCCAUUAGCUAGUUGGCGGGGUAACGGCCCACCAAGGCAUCGAUGGGUAGGGGUUCUGAGAGGAAGGUCCCCCACACUGGAACUGAGACACGGUCCAGACUCCUACGGGAGGCAGCAGUGAGGAAUAUUGGUCAAUGGUCGGAAGACUGAACCAGCCAAGUAGCGUGAAGGAUGAAGGUUCUAUGGAUUGUAAACUUCUUUUAUACGGGAAUAAAACCACCUACGUGUAGGUGCUUGUAUGUACCGUAUGAAUAAGCAUCGGCUAACUCCGUG